GUGGGGAAUAUUGGACAAUGGGCGCAAGCCUGAUCCAGCAAUGCCGCGUGUGUGAAGAAGGCCUUCGGGUUGUAAAGCACUUUUAUCAGGAGCGAAAUCUACAUGCUUAAUACGUGUGCAGUCUGACGGUACCUGAGGAAUAAGCACCGGCUAACUUCGUGCCAGCAGCCGCGGUAAUACGAAGGGUGCAAGCGUUAAUCGGAAUUACUGGGCGUAAAGGGUGCGUAGGCGGUUCGUUAAGUCUGUCGUGAAAUCCCCGGGCUCAACCUGGGAAUGGCGAUGGAUACUGGCGAGCUAGAGUGUGUCAGAGGAUGGUGGAAUUCCCGGUGUAGCAGUGAAAUGCGUAGAGAUCGGGAGGAACAUCUGUGGCGAAGGCGGCCAUCUGGACCAGCACUGACACUGAGGCACGAAAGCGUGGGGAGCAAA
rnacentral:rRNA from 1 species